CACGUAGGGGGCAAGCGUUGUCCGGAUUUAUUGGGCGUAAAGAGCUCGUAGGUGGUUCGGUAAGUCGGGUGUUAAACCCCCAGGCUCAACCUGGGGACGCCACUCGAUACUGCUGUGACUAGAGUCCGGUAGGGGAGCGUGGAAUUCCUGGUGUAGCGGUGAAAUGCGCAGAUAUCAGGAGGAACACCAGCGGCGAAGGCGGCGCUCUGGGCCGGUACUGACACUGAGGCGCGAAAGCGUGGGGAGCGAACAGG
rnacentral:rRNA from 1 species